UCUGCCAGGGCUCAGUGGCACAGCAUCUGCUUGGCAUGCAAAAGGUCCCAGGUUCGAGUCCUAUCACCUCUGCUGAA
rnacentral:tRNA from 1 species